rnacentral:rRNA from 1 species
CAGUAGCCGCGGGAAUACGGAGGGGGCUAGCGUUGUUCGGAAUUACUGGGCGUAAAGCGUACGUAGGCGGCUUUGUAAGUUAGAGGUGAAAGCCUGGAGCUCAACUCCAGAAUUGCCUUUAAGACUGCAUCGCUUGAACGUCGGAGAGGUGAGUGGAAUUCCGAGUGUAGAGGUGAAAUUCGUAGAUAUUCGGAAGAACACCAGUGGCGAAAGCGGCUCACUGGACCAUAACUGACGCUGAGGCGCGAAAGCUAGGGGAGCAAACAGGAUUAGAUACCCCCGUAGUCCCUGUCUCUUAUAC